UACGAAGGGGGCUAGCGUUGCUCGGAAUCACUGGGCGUAAAGCGCACGUAGGCGGAUUGCUAAGUCAGGGUGAAAUCCUGGAGCUCAACUCCAGAACUGCCUUUGAUACUGGCGACCUUGAGUCCGGGAGAGGUGAGUGGAACUGCGAGUGUAGAGGUGAAAUUCGUAGAUAUUCGCAAGAACACCAGUGGCGAAGGCGGCUCACUGGCCCGGUACUGACGCUGAGGUGCGAAAGCCAGGGAGCAAGCGGG
rnacentral:rRNA from 1 species